CUACGUGCCAGCAGCCGCGGUAAUACGGAAGGUCCGGGCGUUAUCCGGAUUUAUUGGGUUUAAAGGGAGCGUAGGCUGGAGAUUAAGUGUGUUGUGAAAUGUAGACGCUCAACGUCUGACUUGCAGCGCAUACUGGUUUCCUUGAGUACGCACAACGUUGGCGGAAUUCGUCGUGUAGCGGUGAAAUGCUUAGAUAUGACGAAGAACUCCGAUUGCGAAGGCAGCUGACGGGAGUGCAACUGACGCUGAAGCUCGAAGGUGCGGGUAUCGAACAGGAUUAGAUACCCUGGUAGUCCGCACAGUAAACGAUGGACGCCCGCUGUUGGUACCUGGUAUCAGCGGCUAAGCGAAAGCAUUAAGCAUCCCACCUGGGGAGUACGCCGGCAACGGUGAAACUCAAAGGAAUUGACGGGGGCCCGCACAAGCGGAGGAACAUGUGGUUUAAUUCGAUGAUACGCGAGGAACCUUACCCGGGCUUGAA
rnacentral:rRNA from 1 species